GACGAACGCUGGCGGCGUGCUUAACACAUGCAAGUCGAGCGGUAAGGCCCUUUCGGGGGUACACGAGCGGCGAACGGGUGAGUAACACGUGGGUGACCUGCCCUCAGCUCUGGGAUAAGCCUGGGAAACUGGGUCUAAUACUGGAUAUGACUCCAUGACGCAUGUUGUGGGGUGGAAAGCCUUGUGCGGCUGAGGAUGGGCCCGCGGCCUAUCAGCUUGCGGUGGGGUGAUGGCCUACCAAGGCGACGACGGGUAGCCGGCCUGAGAGGGGCGACCGGCCACACUGGGACUGAGACACGGCCCAGACUCCUACGGGAGGCAGCAGUGGGGAAUCUUGCGCAAUGGGCGAAAGCCUGACGCAGCGACGCCGCGUGAGGGAUGACGGCCUGGU
rnacentral:rRNA from 1 species